rnacentral:tRNA from 1 species
GCCUCAUUGGCUCAGGGGCAGAGCGUCUGUCUAGUAAACAGAAGGUCGCUGGUUCGAUUCCAGCAUGGGGCA